UCAAAAGAAAUAGUUACAAGUAUACAUGGAAUUGAUACUUUAAGAAUAUUUCAUAAGAAUAUACUUUAUGUUUGCAGCCUUAGAUUUACAAAACAGUGGUACGAAUUAAGGUUCGUUUCUUGCCCGUUGAAGAAGGAUGUAAUCGGUAAACACUCAUAUUUUGAUACAGUCCUAAUAUAGUUGAAAUACAAUUGUAAAUCAUACAAUGUUUUGGAACAAUAUUUCAUGCCUAAAAUGGUACGUUAAUUUUUGACAAAGAUACAAAGGGUCUGUAUACGAAUGGAGCAUCUCCCUAAUGACUACAGCCAGGGAGAGAUCCCAUCUAGUAAUGGGCCGUAGAAUUGUCCAUUCUUCACCCCCAAAGCUGCAGACCUGUCAUUACUUUAUGUUUGGAAGAAGCACCUCGAUUACUCUAAAAGAGCUUACAGCUCCAUGGG